ensembl:lncRNA
AGAAUUGCAUAAUGAUCAGACAUACAGGGACACCAGAGAGGAUGUUUACAGUCGCCGUGAUUUUGCCAAGUAAAACAUGUUCCUGGAUCAACAUCUUUUGAUGAUCCUGGAUCAACAUUAUUGUCCAAAAAUAUAGACUUAACCCAAUCCCUACCCCUAAACCUAACCCUACCCAUAAAUUAUUCCUAAAAUCAGUGGGAAAUGAUAGCUGUUUAACAAGGGUAUAGAAGCACCUAACCCUGAUCAUAAGCCUAAAACAGAUAUUUCCUAAAAAGUUAUAUCUCAAUUCUGAUUGGUUGAUUGGAAUGUUGUUCCAGGAACUUGUACUUGGUGAAAUAAUGCUCACCGGAUGUUUACAAUGGUCCUUAGUGUGAUUGUGUGUGUGUGUGUGUGUGUGUGUGUGUGUGUGUGUGUGUGUGUGUUUGUGUGCAUGUGUUAUUUAAUUGUAAACAAAUAGAGGCACAUCUUAUCUGCUGUCUGCUAUGUAAUCUUGCUUUUCUCAUUUAAGGAAUGUGAAAAGGCAAAGGAAGAGAUAAAGUGAAAUAGAGAGAGAGGAUUAAAUCUAACAAAAAAAUCAUUUGAAUUGACUAUUACACUAAUGAUGAUCACACUCGACACUCUAAAGUGCUGAUUAUCAUUAGAUUGUCAGAAUAGAGACAUUAAAAUGACAAUCCAGAAGUAUGAAAUGAAUGGCAAGGACAAAAUUAGUGACAGUUAGGGGGGAACAAACAAUAACAACAGCUUAAUCCAGAGGAGGGAAGCAAUAUUCCAGACCAGCCAUUGGGAUCUUAUGUCCAGCUCAGCACAACGAAGAGACCUGGAGAAACAGAGGCAGAGAUUAAACUUGUCAUUUGUUUUCAAUGCUUAUUCAAGGCUUUGUGGUUUUAAAUGUUGUCCUGACAGCUGUAAGUUUCUUUUUUGUACUGGUGUAGUAGGUGAGCAUUUGAAAAUUAAAUGAUAUAAAAUAGAUUAGCUGUGGUAGUGUAUUCAUUCACUCUUAUCCAAU